rnacentral:lncRNA from 1 species
CUGACCCUGCUAUGUUAGCAAUUAAUAAUAGCGUUGAUGAUAAUGGUAAUAAUAGUUCAUGACCCUUUCUGUCCUGGAUCUUUAUCUGUUUGAGAUACAGUUGUAGUCAUUUGGCAUCAGCCAGUUGCUCCAUGAAAAAAAGGUUUAUUGAGACAAUGUAGCAUACGGCAAACACAGAAGUUGCAGGGUUAGACAGACCUGGGUUGAAAACUGGCUUUGCCUUGCUGGUGGUAUGACCUUGGACAUGGUUUGAACCUUACUGAGCCUCCGCUUCCUUGCCUUUAACAUUGAGAAGGGGUAGGAUCUGGAGUCCAACAAAUCUAGGUUCACAUCUUUGCUCUGUGCUUGCUAGUUCUGGGCCCUUGGGCAAGUGCUUUCAUCAGGUUGCAUUUUGGUCUGCUCAUCUGUAAAAUGGGCACCUUGCUGGGAUAUUGGGAACAGAGAUGAUUUUUGUAUGAAAUCCACCUGGUUCAUAGUAGUUCUUAGUGAAUGGCUAUUUUACUUUAUUUUUUGAUAGGAUCUAAUUCUGUCUCUCAGGCUGCAGUGCAGUGGUACAAUCAUGGCGCACUGUAGCCUCGACCACUGGAGCCCAGGUGAUCCUUCUGCCUCAGCCUACUGGGUAGCUGGGACUACAGCCACGUGCCAUCACGCCCAGCUAAUUUUUGUAUUUUUUGUAGAGUCAGGUUUCACCAUGUUGCCCAGGCUGGUCUUGAACUCCUGGGCUCAAGUGAUCCACCCACCUCGGCCUCCCAAAAUGCUGGAAUUACAGGCAUGAGCAACCACACCUGGCCAUUAAAUGUUAAUUGUAUCAGCCCUUCCGAGUUGGGGCAUGUGAUUCUUCCUCUGUGAGCCUCAAUUUCUUCAUCUGUAAAACAGAGCCAGUAGUACCCAUCUUUUGGUGUGAAGAAUGAGAAGUGAAGGUGGAAGGGCUUGGUGCUCUGAAAAGCCUGGUGCCUUGUGGCCCUGGCAGAGUAUGUGAUUGGUGGGGCAGUGACAAAAACAGAAAGUGCUUUGGAAUCCUGGGGCCUGCCAGGAAUGUGGGCAAACCUGUUCCAUCCACUGCUGCCCCAAGCUCCAGACUCUCCCAUCUUCUCCCCCAAUCAGGUUCCCUCCCCCAUUCUUUGGGUGCGUCUUGGCUUGUCCUGCCUGUCUUCUUCUAGGAAGCCACUCAGUCCUGCCUCAAAGAAGGGAGGAAGGAUGUCACCUUGUCCUGGGCAAGUUAUUGGGCAAGACCAGGCAGCUCCAGUGCUAAUUUAAUGCUGGGAAGAGAGUCGGGGAACCUGCAGCUCUGGCCAGCUUUCCCCCAAGGAAUCCCAGCCCUACCAGCCUCCUCCCUGUCUCUGGCACAUACCAGUUCACAGCCAGAUCAGUAGAGCAGAGGUGUACAAUGGGGAGGCUCUGGCCUGAGAAGAGGAAGCCCCUGAGAGCAUUCAAAGGGUCAAGAGAGGACUAAGGCAAGACCUCUUGGGUAAGAGGGCCCCAGAAAGAGAGCCAACCCUGGGACCAGCCAAGGGAGGCAAGAGGUCCCACAAGUGAGCAGUGGAGGGCAUUCGGAUGCAAUGAUCUUUCAGCCCUAACAUUCUGGAAGUCUGAUUCAAAGAGUCACACCCAGCAAAGGAAAACACAGAGACUAGACGGAAUCAGUGAAGAGGUGGCUGGUCAAAAGCAGCACAUGUAUCGUGUUUUCAAAGCUCAGCAGUGACUCAGGAAGGCAAGACAGGAAGUCCCUUGGGAAUGGUCUGUAAACCAGGGCGAGGGACUAAGAAAAACAGGUAGAUAAGUCCCCAGGAGCCUUAAACAGCCCCCAAAGCAUGAGCUACACAUAUGUCACUAGACUCUGUCAGAACCUUUCAGAGCUGGCCAGGCAUGGUGGCUCACGCCUGUGAUCCCAGCACUUUGGGAAGCUGAGGUGGGAGGAUAGGUUGAACCCAGGAAUUCGAGACCAGCCUGGGCAACAUAGCGAGACCUUGUCUCUACCAAAAAUAAAAUAAAUAAAUAAUUUAAAAAGAGGCCAGGAGUGGUGGCUCACACCUGUAAUCUCAGCACUUUGGGAGGCCCAGGCGGGCGGAUCACCUGAGGUCAGGAGUUACAGACCAGCCUGGCCAACGUGGCGAAACCUCAUUUCUA